GAUGAACGCUGGCGGCGUGCCUAAUACAUGCAAGUCGAGCGAACAGACGAGGAGCUUGCUCCUCUGACGUUAGCGGCGGACGGGUGAGUAACACGUGGAUAACCUACCUAUAAGACUGGGAUAACUUCGGGAAACCGGAGCCAAUACCGGAUAAUAUAUUGAACCGCAUGGUUCAAUAGUGAAAGACGGUUUUGCUGUCACUUAUAGAUGGUUCCGCGCCGCAUUAGCUAGUUGGUAAGGUAACGGCUUACCAAGGCAACGAUGCGUAGCCGACCUGAGAGGAUGAUCGGCCACACUGGAACUGAGACACGGUCCAGACUCCUACGGGAGGCAGCAGUAGGGAAUCUUCCGCAAUGGGCGAAAGCCUGACGGAGCAACGCCGCGUGAGUGAUGAAGGUCUUCGGAUCGUAAAACUCUGUUAUUAGGGAAGAACAAAUGUGUAAGUAACUAUGCACGUCUUGACGGUACCUAAUCAGAAAGCCACGGCUAACUACGUG
rnacentral:rRNA from 1 species